rnacentral:rRNA from 1 species
AACGAACGCUGGCGGCAGGCCUAACACAUGCAAGUCGAGCGCCCGGAUUUAUCCGGGAGCGGCGCACGGGUGAGUAACGCGUGGGAACAUGCCCUGAAGUACGGAACAACCUGGGGAAACCUUGGCUAAUACCGUAUACGCCCUGAGGGGGAAAGAUUUAUCGCUUUGGGAUUGGCCCGCGUGGGAUUAGCUGGUUGGUGUGGUAACGGCGCACCAAGGCGACGAUCCAUAACUGGUCUGAGAGGAUGACCAGUCACACUGGGACUGAGACACGGCCCAGACUCCUACGGGAGGCAGCAGUGGGGAAUAUUGGACAAUGGGCGAAAGCCCGAUCCAGCCAUGCCGCGUGAGUGAAGAAGGCCUUCGGGUUGUAAAGCUCUUUCAGCGGGGACGAUGAUGACGGUACCCGCAGAAGAAGCCCCGGCUAACUUCGUGCCAGCCGCCGCAGUAA